AUACAGAGGGUGCAAGCGUUAUUCGGAAUUACUGGGCGUAAAGCGCGCGUAGGCGGAUGAUUAAGUCAGUUGUGAAAGCCCUGUGCUCAACCUAGGAACUGCAUCUGAUACUGGUCGUCUAGAGUUUAAGAGAGGGAAGUGGAAUUCCAGGUGUAGCAGUGAAAUGCGUAGAUAUCUGGAGGAACAUCAGUGGCGAAGGCGACUUCCUGGCUUAAAACUGACGCUGAGGUGCGAAAGCGUGGGUAGCGAACGGGAUUAGAAACCCCAGUAGUCC
rnacentral:rRNA from 1 species